rnacentral:rRNA from 1 species
UGGCGAACGGGUGAGUAACACGUGGGUGAUCUGCCCUGCACUUCGGGAUAAGCCUGGGAAACUGGGUCUAAUACCGGAUAGGAGCCAUUUUUAGUGUGAUGGUUGGAAAGUUUUUUAGGUGUAGGAUGAGCUCGCGGCCUAUCAGCUUGUUGGUGGGGUAAUGGCCUACCAAGGCGGCGACGGGUAGCCGGCCUGAGAGGGUGGACGGCCACAUUGGGACUGAGAUACGGCCCAG